ACAAUGCAACGUGAUAUCUACAACUCCCGUCAUAAUUGCAAUUUGUUAUUUCCAAAGCCUCUUUUCUAUUCCAACACAUAGUGCAGUGAACCUGCUAUUAGGGUUGUGUUUAUGUUUCCAAAAUCCUCCUUCUCACAUUUUCAACUUCUUAUGUUUCCAACACUGAACCCUACCCUUCCCUCCCCUCAGACAAAAGAAUCACGAACUCAUCCAUUUUCCUCCUCAUUUUUUGUUUUGCUUUCAGUUUCAUCCUUUCUUCAUAUUCGCCACAGAAUAACCAAAAACAAACAGUGUACGGUUAAAUUCAAACCAAAAUGUUAACCUUCAUCUUCUUCAUCCUUUCUCUUUUCAAUCGAUUCGAGUUUCCACAAUUAAUCAGAACGUUCCUUCAUAUCGAACGGUUUGAAUCGGCUGAGUCAAGCCUUGAGGCAACGAUCUUCGGUAACGAUCGUCAACCGUUGAGGUGACGCAACUAUGGUAUCAUUAUCAUUCACUAUGAAAUUUACAGCAACUGAACGAUUUGAUUUGCUAAAAAAUUGGUAUGGGUGAAAAAAGAGAUUUCUCCAAGUCUGUAAACGCUAUUUCAAACCUUUUCUCUUUGAUAAACUGUGAAACAAUGGAUUGCAAUAUUUUAUAUAUCCACGAAUGUGAAAGUUGCCCCCAGAGGAUUGUCACCUGUGAGUUCUGUGAGUUUCCAUUGCCUGCAAUUGAUCUGCCAGAGCAUCAGACGCAGUGAUCUUAAAAAACCUUUGAAUUCAAUUGCAACGGAAUACAAGACAUUGCUGCAGGCUCUUCAAGGCAGGAAAAUUUCAUCAUAUAAUUACAGUGCAAGUUUUAGUUUUAUUCAUAUUUUGGUCCAUUUUGUGGAAGUGUUACAUGCAUUAUUAUAAUUUCACUAAUUAUUAUAUUUACUUGCUUAUUUAUAUAUUUACAUGCAUUAUUCCUGUCAUUUGACCGCCAUUGCACCAGCUCUGUCUACGCCUCCGGUGAAGAAGGAGGUUUCCGAAGGUGGUAAAAUCACCGAUGAGUUUACAGGAAAGGGAGCGAUCAGUCAUGUUUGUCAAGUUAUUGGUGCCGUCGUUGACUGCUCUUAAAGUUCUAGAUUAUUCUUCGAGAUUGGUGUUGGAACUGACUCAGCAUUUGGGUGAAGGUGUUGUGAGAACCAUUGCUAUGGAUGCUACUGAAGUUGGAAACUGCAAUCUUUAUUGGAGGGGUGGAACUGUACCAAUACUGCUCACUUUGGAUGUGUUCGUUUUAUUCUGGUCUAGGCUCCUUCAAUUUGUGUUGGUUUUUCUGCUAUCAAUGUUUGUGGUUAUUUGCAAAGAGUAUCAUGCAAGUGGUUAGUUUUGAUAGUGGUGGCUGUAUGUAGAAUUUAGGUGUCUCAUAAUUUCUCAGUUUGGUAGAAGCUAAGAAAGAAGAAGACAUGAUGUUGGGAUUAAUUCAUGUUUCAAUACCAAGUAGAAGUUUGGCUCUUUUUUUUUCUACUGUGUGGCAGGCGUUUAUGUGUAUUGAAGGGCGUGGGAUUGUGUGUUUAAAUUAUCAUCAUCUUUGUACAAGCGCUGCAGACAUUUUACUCUUGGAUUUUUGUUGUUGUUAUUUCUGGCAUCAGUUUUAGCAUAUGGUGUGGGGAACUAUAGCUUUUGAAUUCAACUUACAACACUGGCAUGAGAGAUUGAGAAGAGAUAAAAUAGGGACCUUGAUUUUAUUUUCUUUAUCUAUGUAACAUUUUUUAGAUAUACGUUCUUAUGAAUUAUCUUUUGAAAUAAUAGGUUUGUAAGAUUGAUCCAGAUAACUGAUUGGAACUAUGAGUUUAUCAUCUAAGGUGUAAACUAUAAUCUGUUCACUUAUUUUAA